rnacentral:rRNA from 1 species
UACGAAGGGGGCUAGCGUUGUUCGGAAUUACUGGGCGUAAAGCGCACGUAGGCGGAUCGAUCAGUCAGGGGGUGAAAUCCCAGGGCUCAACCCUGGAACUGCCUUUGAUACUGUCGAUCUGGAGUAUGGAAGAGGUGAGUGGAAUUCCGAGUGUAGAGGUGAAAUUCGUAGAUAUUCGGAGGAACACCAGUGGCGAAGGCGGCUCACUGGUCCAUUACUGACGCUGAGGUGCGAAAGCUAGGGGAGCGAACGGG